GUCUUUUUGUAAAUAAAAAAAGUCCAACCUGCCCACUGAUAUUUUUUAAGGGCCGCGGUAUUUUGACCGUGCGAAGGUAGCGUAGUCAUUAGGUUUUUAAUUGGGAUCUUGUAUGAAUGGUUAGACAAGGGAGAAUCUGUCUCUUUAUUGAAAAUUUAAUUUAACUUUUAAGUGAAAAGGCUUAAAUUAUUUAAAGGGACGAUAAGACCCUAUAAAGCUUGAUAUAAAAGGUUAUUUAAUUAAAUCAGUUAGUAAAACUUUUAUGACCUGGGUUAUUUUAUUGGGGCGAUAAGGGUAAAAUGUUUUGUAACUGCUUUAAAAAUAAAACACGUUAGUUGAGAUAAUUUUUAAGAGAUCCCCAAGUGAGGAUUAUAAGUUUAAGUUACUUUAGGGAUAACAGCGUUAUUUUUUUUGAGAGUACGUAUCGAAAAAAGAGUUUGCGACCUCGAUGUUGAAUUAAAAUUUCUUUAUAGAAGCAGAAACUAUUAAAGUAGGUCUGUUCGACCUUUAAAAUUUU
rnacentral:rRNA from 1 species